AUUGAACGCUGGCGGCAUGCCUUACACAUGCAAGUCGAACGGCAGCACGGGAGCAAUCCUGGUGGCGAGUGGCGAACGGGUGAGUAAUAUAUCGGAACGUGCCCAGUCGUGGGGAUAACGUAGCGAAAGCUACGCUAAUACCGCAUACGAUCUAUGGAUGAAAGCGGGGGAUCGCAAGACCUCGCGCGAUUGGAGCGGCCGAUAUCAGAUUAGGUAGUUGGUGAGGUAAAGGCUCACCAAGCCGACGAUCUGUAGCUGGUCUGAGAGGACGACCAGCCACACUGGGACUGAGACACGGCCCAGACUCCUACGGGAGGCAGCAGUGGGGAAUUUUGGACAAUGGGCGCAAGCCUGAUCCAGCAAUGCCGCGUGCAGGAUGAAGGCC
rnacentral:rRNA from 1 species